UGAACCUACGGGAGGCAGCAGUGGGGAAUAUUGCACAAUGGGGGAAACCCUGAUGCAGCAACGCCGCGUGAAGGAAGACGGUUUUCGGAUUGUAAACUUCUGUUCUUAGUGAAGAAAAAUGACGGUAGCUAAGGAGCAAGCCACGGCUAACUACGUGCCAGCAGCCGCGGUAAUACGUAGGUGGCAAGCGUUGUCCGGAAUUACUGGGUGUAAAGGUAGCGCAGGCGGGAAGCCAAGUCAGCUGUGAAAACUACGGGCUUAACUUGUAGACUGCCGUUGAAACUGGGUUUCUUUAGUG
rnacentral:rRNA from 1 species